rnacentral:rRNA from 1 species
GACGAACGCUGGCGGCGUGCUUAACACAUGCAAGUCGUACGGUAAGGCCCUUUCGGGGGUACACGAGUGGCGCACGGGUGAGUAACACGUGAGUAACCUGCCCACAACUUUGGGAUAACGCUAGGAAACUGGUGCUAAUACUGGAUAUGUGCUCCUGCUGCAUGGUGGGGGUUGGAAAGCUCCGGCGGUUGUGGAUGGACUCGCGGCCUAUCAGCUUGUUGGUGGGGUAGUGGCCUACCAAGGCGGCGACGGGUAGCCGGCCUGAGAGGGUGACCGGCCACAUUGGGACUGAGAUACGGCCCAGACUCCUACGGGAGGCAGCAGUGGGGAAUAUUGCACAAUGGGCGCAAGCCUGAUGCAGCAACGCCGCGUGCGGGAUGACGGCCUUCGGGUUGUAAACCGCUUUCAGCAGGGACAAAGCUUUUUGUGACGGUACCUGCAGAAGAAGCACCGGCUAACUACGUG